CCCUUAGACGCUCUAGGCGGCACGCGCGCUACAAUGGGUGGUAGAACGUGUAACUGCUCCCGAAAGGGAGGGUGAACCACGAAUACUUACCCGUGAAUGGGAUAGUUUGUUGCAAUUUUCGGACUUGAACUAGGAAUCCCUUGUAAGAAUGCUCAAGAAUAGUGUGCUGAAUACGUCCCUGCCGUUUGUACACACCGCCCGUCGUUUCUUCCGACUGAUACUCAUUGUGAGUUGCAAGGAUUCUUAUUGAAAAAUUGCUGCGAAUGCUUUGUAUUGGAGGAAGAAAAAGUCGUAACA
rnacentral:rRNA from 1 species